rnacentral:rRNA from 1 species
AGCGAACGCUGGCGGCAGGCCUAACACAUGCAAGUCGAACGGACCCUUCGGGGUUAGUGGCGGACGGGUGAGUAACACGUGGGAACGUGCCUUUAGGUUCGGAAUAGCUCCUGGAAACGGGUGGUAAUGCCGAAUGUGCCCUUCGGGGGAAAGAUUUAUCGCCUUUAGAGCGGCCCGCGUUUGAGUAGCUAGUUGGUGGGGUAAUGGCUAACCAAGGCGACGAUCAGUAGCUGGUCUGAGAGGAUGCCCAGCCACAUUGGGACUGAGACACGGCCCAAACUCCUACGGGAGGCAGCAGUGGGGAAUCUUGCGCAAUGGGCGAAAGCCUGACGCAGCCAUGCCGCGUGGAUGAUGAAGGUCUUAGGAUUGUAAAAUCCUUUCGCCGGUGAAGAUAAUGACUGUAGCCGGAGAAGAAGCCCCGGCUAACUUCGUGCCAGCAGCCGCCGUAACAC